rnacentral:lncRNA from 1 species
CAAAUUUUAUUAUGCCAGAAAGCUCCAGUAUUUGCUAGAGACAAUAAAACAACCACAAUGGCCAUAGGAGAGAAAUAGAGAAAGUUAAUUUCUAUAAUAUCACUCACUAAUUGAUAGAAAAACUGAUACAAAGAUAGUGAGUAGAGUCAUCAAGUGUGCAUACUGAAUGAGAAAAACCUUAUUAUUAAGGAAAAUACAGAUCCAAAUUAAGGUUCUUAAUAGAUUGUUUUCUAUAAUCAAUUAUAUGAAAUCCUAAACCAAGCCACAAUAGAGAUGUAAAGAAGAAAAUUACCUUGGAAAUGCAACACAAAGUGUUUGGCGAGUGAGACAAUGACAACGAAAACACUGUCGUCAUCGAUGCCGGAGAAAGCAUCGCGGUUGGCUGGUAGAUGAAGGCGAAGAACAGGUGAACCCCAAAGUGAACCUCGCCGCCGCAACGCCAGAGAAAAGCUUCCCGAAGAAGAAUUCACACUACCACUCAACAAAGCCAUCAGACCCAGAAUUCAACCAAUAAGAUGAGUAAUUGCAGAAGACUAUCAGAAGGAGUAAUCGAUAUAUCAGGCCCUGCCAAUGACUGAACACGAAAUGAGUUUUUAUAGCAACCAUGAUGAACAAUUUAGAGAAAAUCAAGCUCAGAUAGAGGGGCAAUUAAGGUACCUAUCCUAAUAGGAGAUCAAGCAAUUGUCCUUCAUAAUCUUCCAGAGAUAUACUGUGCGUAGGAAGAUUGUUGUAGCUGUGAUAUCCGUACCUAUGUUUUUGGCAGCUGUGUGCAUCAGAGUAGCUCUUGGAGGAAAAUGGGCAGAGAAGAUAUGUCGUACUGUACCUAGUAGCUACCAUGUUUCAUAUCUUCCGUGUAGCACCAGAAAAACCGACACGUGACCCGGCUCUUGCGGGUUUCC